UGUUCUUUUCAUAUAAUGAAAACAAAGAAAUUAAAAAGAAAUUGGUUAAUCUUAGUCAAUACAUGCAUCAUGGACAUAGGUUUGCUGAAACAGGGGAAGGCAAAACAAACAGAGUAGCAUCCAUCAGAAGAAAUAUCAAAAGCAGCCAUGAUCACCCUCUCCCCCUCCCCUUUCUCCAUCAUCAGCCACGCCAAUUCUGAGGAUGCUGCAGCUAUUUACGAAAACAGGGGCGUCUCCUGUCCUCACAGUAUCACCAAAUGCUGGGAGCCGUCAGAGCUCAGAGGCUGCAUCUGGUGCUGGUACCCCUGAGGUUCAAUGAAGAAUGGUACAGUCCUGCCACAGAGCGGUGCAGCUGGAGAGGGGGAGGGGAGAGAUGCAGAAAAUGAGAUCAGGAGGAAAAAGGAAGACUGUUGGAAACCAAGAAUGACUGCUGAACAGCGCACAUCCACUUUUAGCUACAAUCUUACACAGUGUUAACUACAGUGAUUGAGUAAAUGACAAUUUGCUAAACAAAUAGUUAUUCCAAUUGCUCACUUAGGAUACAAUAUAAUAAUGCAGUGAACAUAAUCCAUGAUAAUUACAUGGAAGUCAGUGUAAGUACAAUGGCAUAAUAAUUAUAAUGCACUACAUCUUUAAUCUCCUAGAAGGCUAGGCUUCACACACACACAUACAUUAAUGCCGUACCCUGACACUGAGGAAUGUGACCUUUGAGAAUAGCCUAUAUUUUAGUAAAGCCUAUGUGGAUGAUCUAUAAGUGGUAAGUCUUUGUGUGCUUGACACAACUUUGCCAUUGCCCUAUAUUACACUAUUCUGGGUAAAUCCCUGGUGUAAUCCUCCUCAGAGAACCAGCCAGUACAGAACUCCACACUUCCACCUCUGGGACACCAACACACAUCCAAAGACAGCAUAUUUUGUGUGUUCUUAAGCAAACAUAUGUCUAAUUUACCUGACUUCAUGCAAAGAAAGGUAUAGAUAAUUAUACUAUGCACGUCCUUACUUGUAUUCUCUUCAGGUUCCUUGAAAAUAAACAUUGUGCACAAACCAUCAGGUAUUGUCCUGCCAUCAAUCUAAUGCACCUGAGGAAUACACAGUAAAAUUGUGAUCUGUAUCAUAAUAAUCAAUAUAUUUUCUAUCUCUACAUGUUUGACCAUUCAAUGUAUCAAUAAAUGUUGCACACAGAA